rnacentral:misc_RNA from 1 species
CAGCCGCGUAAUUCCAGCUCCAAUAGCGUAUAUUAAAGUUGUUGCAGUUAAAAAGCUCGUAGUUGAAUUUCGGGAUUGACACAUCGGUCGUGCCUUAAGGGGUAUGAACUGGUGUAGUCAAUUUCUCACCUUCUGGAGAACCGCGAUGCCCUUAAUUGGGUGUCGCGGGGAACCAGGACCUUUACUUUGAAAAAAUUAGAGUGUUUAAAGCAGGCAUUUUGCUUGAAUACAUUAGCAUGGAAUAAUAAAAUAGGACGGCAUGAUUCUAUUUUGUUGGUUUCUAGGAUCACCGUAAUGAUUAAAGGGAUUAGUUGGGGCAUUAGUAUUCAAUUGUCAGAGGUGAAAUUCUUGGAUUUAUUGAAGACUAACUACUGCGAAAGCAUUUGCCAAGGAUGUUUUCAUUAAUCAAGAACGAAAGUUAGGGGAUCGAAGACGAUCAGAUACCGUCGUAGUCUUAACCAUAAACUAUGCCGACUAGGAAUCAGACGAUGUUAAUUUUUUAAUGACUCGUUUGGCACCUUACG